rnacentral:rRNA from 1 species
GAUCGAGUUUGAUCCUGGCUCAGGAUGAACGCUAGCGGCAGGCCUAAUACAUGCAAGUCGAACGGUGAUAGCAAUAUCAUAGUGGCGCACGGGUGCGUAACACGUAUGCAACCUACCUAUUAUUGGGGGAUAGCCUUUGGAAACGGAGAUUAAUACCGCAUAAUACGAUUGACUGGCAUCGGUUGAUUGUUAAAGCUUCGGCGAUAAUAGAUGGGCAUGCGUCCAAUUAGCUAGUUGGUGAGGUAAUGGCUCACCAAGGCUAUGAUUGGUAGGGGAACUGAGAGGUCAAUCCCCCGACACUGGCACUGAGAUACGGGCCAGACUCCUACGGGAGCAGCAGUAGGGAAUAUGGGGCAAUGGGGCGAAGCCCUGACCCCAGCCAUGCCGCGUGCAGGAA